rnacentral:rRNA from 1 species
AGCAGCCGCGGUAAUUCCAGCUCCAAUAGCGUAUAUUAAAGUUGUUGCAGUUAAAAAGCUCGUAGUUGAAUUUCGAGAUCAAAUUGUUGGUCGUGCCUCGGUACGUACUGGCAUUAUUGAUUUCUCCCUUCUGAAGAACCUUGAUGUCAUUAAUUUGGUGUCUUGGGGAAUCAGGACCGUUACUUUGAAAAAAUUAGAGUGUUUAAAGCAGGCUCACGCUUGAAUACAUUAGCAUGGAAUAAUGAAAUAGGACGUUCGAUUCUAUUUUGUUGGUUUCUAGGAUCGACGUAAUGAUUAAUAGGGAUAGUUGGGGGCAUUAGUAUUCAAUUGUCAGAGGUGAAAUUCUUGGAUUUAUUGAAGACUAACUACUGCGAAAGCAUUUGCCAAGGAUGUUUUCAUUAAUCAAGAACGAAAGUUAGGGGAUCGAAGACGAUCAGAUACCGUCGUAGUCUUAACCAUAAACUAUGCCGACUAGGGAUCGGAUGAUGUUAAUUUUUAANGUA